CUCUUCUAAUAUCCAAAACCAAUUAAACAAACCAAAACUCACCCCAAUUCUCACACUUCAACCAAAGAACUUUCAGAAAGAGCUUAAACCCUUUGUCUAUAAUGUCAAAAAAUACUAUCUGAAUACACUCAUCGGUGAAGCUAUUUGACUACAGGAAUAAUUUUUCAGUCAGAAUCUCGACUUGAAUUCAAGGACUAAUUGGUGUUGUUAGUGAUUUACUUCCAAAAGCACAAUAUAAAUAAUGUGCAAGGCACAUAAAAGUUAAUUGGUCCAAGACUUGAAGGGGUGUACAGAUGAAGAAGUUAUUUUGGUGGUCUGCUUAGAGUACAUUUGAAGAAGAAUUUGAAGACCAAUUAAAGAUCAUGUGUUUUUUGUCUGAACAAGCCCCCAAGAAUUUGUUAUGUUAUCCACCACAAUAUUGGUGCAGGGCCUAUUUUGACAGUCUUUAAAAAUUUUCAUGUAAAAAUAA